CACACAGUUAGACAAGAAGAUAGUGUGCAGCAUGUUUAUCUGCAGAAGAUGAUGAAAGAUGUUAUUUUAUCCUGAGCUGUGGCAUAUUGGAAAAGGAAAUAAUGAAAACAAAGCAGCAAGGAGCCUCCAAAAGGGGCAAUUAGAGGAUUUUGACUGCUUCACAGCACAAAAUGACUAUAAUAUAUCUGCAAGGGUUGACAGGGUUAUUGGUCAGUAUCAUUGACUCUGUCAUUGCAUCGUCAGCUUCUGUCUUCUGCUUGUGUGAACUCACAAAUUUCUGCUCUUCUGGCUUAAGAAAAAACACCUGAUUCUUUCUGUGGUAUCUGUGUUCCAAAUGUUCAAUGUCACUGGUUUGUGUUAUAAAAAUCAGGCAGUUUUUUUCACCCAACUGUGUUUUUGAUCUCAGGUUCCAAGGUUGUGAACCCGUUCAGAUUCCUGGAGGUUUUUGAGACUUGGGGUCCACACCUUGAUGGGGAUUUAAUAAAGGAACAAGCCGUCACGGCGUUCGAGAAGGGCCACUGGCAGAAAGAGAAGCCACUGCUGUUUGGUACAACCUCAGAGGAGGGGGUGAUCUUUGUGUAUGCUGUCUUCAAUAAGCCAGUCUCUGCAGUGGAGUCCACUGUGUACAUCACUGCCAUCUUUAAACAACAUGCUCUGCGGGUCCUGCACAAGUACCUGCCACUGUACAGGGAUGCUGACCGCAGGGACAUGCUAGCUCAGGUAAGAUGAGCUCAUGUGGAUCCUUUUCAUUUUCACUUUAGUUGAUACACCAAGUCUGAAACUGCAGAGCCAAAAAAGCAGGUUCAGUUGAGAAAAUCCAUUUGGCAGAGCAUGGGAGAGAAAAUAAUCACAUAGGUUGGUUAACCUCAGAUUGUGGAGCCAAAGAACAUUUCUCCAGAGGAAAUGUGUAUAUAAUCUUGAUCAUGUUGAACUUAGCAGUUGUGAGGCAAAUUAAGGCCAGCUCAUGGUUUCCUAUGUGGGCAUGUUUCUAUUCAUAUUGCAUUUGGAGGUAUGUGUAACCGGACAUGCACACUAGAAUGAGCUUCUGGUUUACUUGUUUGGUAUAUGUGCAGUUGGCUCACCAACAGUGCAGACAGUCUGCACUGGAGCUUUGCCAACAUGGGGAGAUGAAGACAUUUACCUCAUGCGACACAUGGAAACCAUGAAAAGGCCCUUACGCACACCAACAAUUAAAAAUAAUCAAGAAGUAAUCACUUCCAAAGCUUUGUAUUGAACCUAUAUACUGAAAAGAAGUUUCUACAUUAGCUAUCCAACAAAUUUCCC
rnacentral:lncRNA from 1 species